CUGGAUACAGAGUGAACUGGCUGGCCCCGUCUGGAAGACUAGUGAUUUUGUUGUUGUCUUACUGCGCUCAACAACAAAUCCCAGUCUGCCGAAUGGUGCCAGCCAUUGCA
ensembl:miRNA